GGAGAGCUGUCCGAGUGGUCGAAGGUGCGACUCUCGAAAAGUCGUGCACAGCAAUGUGCCUAGGGUUCGAAUCCCUAGCUCUCCGCCA
rnacentral:tRNA from 2 species